GGAACGUGCCAUGUCGUGGGGGAUAACGUAGCGAAAGCUACGCUAAUACCGCAUACGUCCUGAGGGAGAAAGCGGGGGAUCUUCGGACCUCGCGCGAUUGGAGCGGCCGAUGUCGGAUUAGCUAGUUGGUGGGGUAAAGGCCCACCAAGGCGACGAUCCCGUAGCGGGUCUGAGAGGAUGAUCCGCCACACUGGGACUGAGAGACGGCCCAGACUCCUACGGGAGGCAGCAGUGGGGAAUUUUGGACAAUGGGCGCAAGCCUGAUCCAGCCAUGCCGCGUGAGUGAAGAAGGCCUUCGGGUUGUAAAGCUCUUUCGGCCGGGAAGAAAUCGCACGCUCUAACAUAGCGUGUGGAUGACGGUACCGGACUAAGAAGCACCGGCUAACUACGUGCCAGCAGCCGCGGUAAUACGUAGGGUGCGAGCGUUAAUCGGAAUUACUGGGCGUAAAGCGUGCGCAGGCGGUUUUGUAAGACAGAUGUGAAAUCCCCGGGCUUAACCUGGGAACUGCGUUUGUGACUGCAAGGCUAGAGUACGGCAGAGGGGGGUGGAAUUCCUGGUGUAGCAGUGAAAUGCGUAGAUAUCAGGAGGAACACCGAUGGCGAAGGCAGCCCCCUGGGCCUGUACUGACGCUCAUGCACGAAAGCGUGGGGAGCAAACAGGAUUAGAUACCCUGGUAGUCCACGCCCUAAACGAUGUCGACUAGUCGUUCGGAGCAGCAAUGCACUGAGUGACGCAGCUAACGCGUGAAGUCGACCGCCUGGGGAGUACGGCCGCAAGGUUAAAACUCAAAGGAAUUGACGGGGACCCGCACAAGCGGUGGAUGAUGUGGAUUAAUUCGAUGCAACGCGAAAAACCUUACCUACCCUUGACAUGUCUGGAACCUUGCU
rnacentral:rRNA from 1 species